ensembl:lncRNA
CACAAGGAACUAAAAUCGCUCCUUCCCUGACUGCCACGCUGGCGCUGAAGAGACGGCCCCUCGUCAAGAACUCUGACAGCCAGAAAGCACAUGGCGGUGGGGCAGAGCCGCCGACACACCUCGGCCAGUGAAUGGUGCGCCGCCCGGGAAAAAUCCACCAUCCAGCAGAAUAUGGGAAAGUAUCAAAGGCCGCUCUUCCUCUCGUUCGGGGAGAAUGAUCUCACAUGAGAUAAGAUUCAGAUCCAGGCGAGGCCUCCGUUCCCUGACUGCGCGCGCGGCGUUGCCUGACGGCCCAAAAGAGCCCUCAUUUAUCCGGGAAGCACCGGCGUGACUCCGGUAAAAUCCUGCAAUUCCUGCCCGCACGCAAGCACACGGGAGCACACACACCCCCUGAAUACCAAAGAAAAGAAAAAUUAAUUUGACCACCUGACAACGGCCUCCUGUGUGUCUGUGCUCCACUCACCGCGGCUAAUUUCCUACACCCUGUAAAACCUAUACAGACUCAGCCGGACUCGACUCGGACUUGAGACUGACUCGGUCCCUUUUGGACUCGGACUCGAUUGGUCAAGGACUUGGUCUAGACUCGAACUCGACAAAGGUGGACUCAGA